GGAGAACAAAAGCCUUGUGAGCAUACAAGCUUUGGUAUAUAACAACUUAAAGAUUUAGCUUAAUCAUCACAGGUCCCAGGGCAGAAUUCAUGGGUUGUGGCCGCGAGCAUGUUGUAAAGUUUAAGUGGUCUAGUAUGGAAGUUCUUCUUCAUCAAACUGAUGCCCAUGCCUCUGAAAGAUUUGGAUUUUAGGUACAUGGAAAAUGUUUGUAUAUGUCUGGACACUGAUAGCAUAGUAGUUAGAAUUUACAAACCAAGUCAGUUUGCUUU